UGCAUUACAAAAAAAAAAAACAGAGUAAGAGAGCAGCCUAUAGAGUUUCGAUACAAUAAUGCAAAUUGGUUUCGUUUCCUAAUUCAAGUAGAUGGAAGCGAUAAAACCUUUGUUCCUCGUCCAUUCCAUUGUCAGGUUGGGCACGAACACGAUCAUUACUCUUGAGAUCCUCGUCAUCGGCCUUAAAAGUUAUCCCACCAGUAUUGUCGCUUCCCGGAGAAUAGCUCUUAUUUUGUUCGUCGUCAGCUUCGUCAUCCUCUUUAGCCCAUUUUGAAGCUGUCAAUAGGAGGUCACUCUUCUCCGUUCCCACAAAGGCUUUCAGCUCAGGCUGAGGGAUUGGUAUUGUCGUGGCUAGAUUCAUAGGCUCUUUCAUUUCAACCUCAGUCACAUUCCUAACUUCUUCCCAAGUUGAAUGGUCUUGCUGCGGAUACUUUGAAAUUUCAUCCACUACUUCAUAUCCACGUUGUUUCUCUGUGUCUUCAAGGCUCAGUAGCCGAGCAACCAUCACUACUCUACCCCCUACAAGAGACAGUCCAUUGUGUCGGCAGCGUCUUUCAAGCUCAGAAAUUGGUAAAUCCAUCAGCUCUUGCCUUGCACCCUCUUUGCCUAUUGCCAGUGCACUAUCUGGAUAACCAAUAUCGCUCAUAUCGUUGUAACCUUUCUUCUCUAUCUCUGGUGCAUCACCGCAGAUAGAAUGAAAUGAGGUAACACCAGAGAUUCCCGAACGAAGAAAUGUUGUACGUAGUCCAGAUAUGUACGCAUCUGAAAAGAGAAACCAAUCCGCCCAUACUUGCAGAACUUUGAGAACCCGUUCCUGCAAAGGGUUCGAAUGAGUUUAAAACAGAGAAAAUCAUAAGGCUAAGAAAAAUCAUAAAAGAUUAAUUUUCUUUCUGACAGUACUUUUAGAGCCUCAGCAGUAAUUCUUCCAGUUAUGCUCCGGUAAAGAUCAUUGAAGCUUUCCAUUAUAUCGGGAAGUGUUGCUUCGAACUUGGUUCGGUAUGCAGAUGCAUUUUUAACAGGUGCGCUGCUAUUAUGAAGAAUAUCAGACACAAGCAUGAGUCUAGCAACUUUAGUUGGAAUUGAUGUCUCUUUUAGUGUCAGGGACUCCGUCAGCACUUCAACAACCUGUGGAAUAAAUAAACAGGAAAUGACGUCUGAAUAUCUCUAUUUACUAACGAUAAUUAUGCUCACAGGUUCUAUGAGAUGUCUCGAAUGUGUAUAAUGCAUUUUUAGAUGUAUAAUGCCAAAUUAAGGGAUUAUAACAUAUCUGAAGCUUCUGAAGGAUAUCUAUGAAGCAAAUGAUGUCUGUAAAUCUAAAUAUAACAAUAGAAUUCAGAACAAAUAAUACCUCUCCAGCUGCAUCUGCAUUAUCUAAAGCGAAUCCCAUAGCUUCUUUUAUUUGGCUCCUUUCUAGAGUUAGAGAACGCAACAUGUCCUCGAAGUCAUCCCUUUGAGGAUCCGUCAGAGGCCUCUCAACUUCCGCACGCUGUAAAAUUUACCAGUGUUAAGGUAUCCCGCUAUAGUAUAGAACAAAAAAUGAGAAAAAAAUCAGAAGUGAGACUGCAAGAAGAUUACCCUGCUUCUUCCCGCUGCAUAUGUGCUUGCUGACUCUUUGUCAUGCUCGAGGCUCUUAUUUACAGGCAGCGGUGGUGGUAUCCAUCUGCAAUAAGAGCAAAGGACUGUUAAAUCAAAUGAAGUGCAAAGGUAAACAGAACCGAACACCAGAAUCAGUUUCAAGGUUGGCAAGCUUUAAUACCUUCCACUACCAGUUAUCAUGAUAUACGGCUCUGUUCUCCACCUUUGAAGUGUAUCACCCUAAACAAUGCCAACACAUCCAUCAGCUUAUGACAAUGUAAAGCUCAAGGAGAAUCUAAGAUAUACUUAGCUAUAAAGCAUUUAAAAUGUACCUGAGCAAAGGAAUAGAGUCUCCAGACGUAGUAAGUAUGCUCUUUCGAUCCAAGCUCAAACAAGAAACUAAACAGUGGAUUCCCUCGGCCCCUCUCCAUGAUAGCUUGUUCAAACGCACAUUCACCAUCAAGAACAUAGAGAGCCAUUGUAUCAAUCAGAUGUCUGAGGUGCUCGUUCUCAGGAGUAACAACAGUGAUAUCCGGAACAUUGGGGGUAAGAACCUGUGAAAGGAAUUCCAUGCAGGAGAUGUACAUUUGGAAUAAGAUUAUUAAAAAAGGUAGAUGGUAAGAACCAGUAUCACUACAAAUAAGAGAAUCAUCAAGUACUGAGAAAUGUCGAGUAUAUGGGGACCGAUUUGGGGGUCUUUUGGAGAUUUGAGAGAGUAGAGAAUGUAUCAGAAUUCAACCCUAGCUAGUUCUUUCGUUCUAUGUUCUAAGUCAUUUUAAGAAACAGAGGUUAUAUUUGACCAUAAAAAGUAAUUCAAGCACUCCUCGAAUAUCAUAUAAAACUUUUAAAGGACCAAUUCAAGCCAUGUAGAAUCAAGUUUACAUACCAGCUCAGAGUUUUGAGUUGGAACAGAAGUUAUUAUUGGUGGACCCGAUUGACCAGAAAAAAUCAAGUUGCAGCCCUGCCAAUGAAAGUAUAUGAAAUAUUAGAGUGACAAUUAAUAAAUAUAAAACUGGCAGUAUGGAAAAAUACGAAUAACAAACAGGAAUCAAACCCAUUCAUAGGUUAUACAUGAUUAAAGAAGAAAUGUAUCUCAAAGAAUAGCACAUGAUGCAUCACAGACCUCCUUACUACGAAUAGCCAUAUGUCCAGGUGGUGGAGCGGGUAAUGCUUGUGAUGGUAAAGAAACCGCUUUACCCCAACCAAUCUUCAAUUCAUAAUCGUACACGAUGAUCCCUGUAAAAUUAGUAUCUCCUUCAUAAGUUUCUUUAAAUUGUCACAUGCAAUCAGGAUGUUCAGUAAUACAAAACCAGUUGACCAUAGACUAGUAAAAAUUGCCAGAAGGACCAUUAUUUUCCAACAUUGACUAACCAGUGGGUAAGUUGUAUCGAUCAAGAAAGAAAAGACAACAACACAAAGCAGUAAUACUGAAGAACAAAGAGAUGGAAGAAAUUGCAUCAAUGAAGAAAGAAAAGCCAAGGCAACAAAAGCUAGGUAGUAAUAAUGACUAAAACUGAAUGGCAAUGCAUGCCUUUUAUUGAAUUUUGGUUACAUAAUGACGUAGAAUUUGCACUUACGAAACCAAUCAAAUAUUUUUGACUUAAAGUAGUCAAAAUAUGAUAUUAAAUAGCAUAGAACCUAGAAACUUUUCUUGUACAAUGAUCCAUUUUAAGCUUUUCUAUCAUACAUUACACAUGUUGCCCCUACCUAGCAGUUGAUCUCUAGGCCAGGAUACAAUAGAUAGUUCUAGAGAGAAGAAGGCUAGCUAACCUUGCAUUUCAUCUUUUGCAGCUUGUCCAUCAGCUCUAUGCAUGAAGGAAACAAACCCACAGUUUCUUUGUCGUCUCUUCUCCUCAUCUGUUCUUGGCCACAUAAUCUUGACACUAGCUAUGGGCCCAAAUCUUCCAAACGUGCGCAAAAGGAAGUUCUCAUCAACCUAUUUGAGCAUAAAGACCACAUCUCAAAAUAUAAGUCAAGGACGCACACAAUAAAAUAUUGGCGAGAGAAUACAGUACAUAAGUUCACGUAAGAAUAAAUAUACCUUUGGGGAUAGAUUCCCAACAUACAAAUUUGUAGUUUGUGGGUCCCCAUCAUCAAACGAUCCUAGCCUUCCAGUGGGAUCAAAAUCAUCAAGCUCGUCAAAGCGGCUAGUAGGCUGAAGAUAGAAUAAACUUUAAUUACAAAAUACAGAACAUAUCUCUCCAAAAAACAGUUCAGGGUUACCCUGAAAGCAGAAAACAGAUGAAAAGAGGACAAAACAAUGAUGACUAACCGAGCUAUCGCCCUGACGGUCACGAUCCUGGUUACGUCUUUCCCUCAUUUCUUGUUCACGCUUCAGCUCCUCCAUGAAAUUAUCUAUGUUUCGAGUCUUUCCCUUAUCUCUCUCCUUAGGUCUCUCCUCCUCCCUCUACAAAGUUGAGAAAAACAAAAUUAUAACUAACCCAUUGCUGCUUCAAAGAAAUACAGUGAAAAUAGGCUUGCUACUGACCUUCCUCUCUGUUUCUUUACCCUUAGAUGCCAUUGGUGGAGGAAGAAAAGAGGGCACAUACCUACACAGAUUACGCGGAAGAUAAUAUACAAUAUCACAAGAACACGCAAAAUAGACUUCAACUUCUUAUCAAGUAAUAGCCAAGAACAUUAUUACUAAGACCCACAACUCUUAUCUCAGCUACUUGCAUGACAUGAACACAUGAUAGAUAGUAUUCUACUCAACCAUUGUAACAACCACUCAUCAGAAAGUUCAAACUCUUUCUGCUUAUGAUGGGUUUGCUAUAAAUGCUUAGCAUUGCAAGGUUGAUUCAAUCAAUCAAAAAGCAAUCAGAUAACCACUUUACCUACUCCCCUUCUUUGAAACCGAACCCCCAUCUUUGGACUUUUCACCUGCCAUCCGCGAACGCAUAGAAAAAAAAGGUCCAUACUCUUAUUAAUAUGUUCUCAAUAUAAACAAAGUUCUACCAUUUUGACACCAUCUAAAAAGAAAGCACACAAUAAGGCAAUGUAACAAACAAGUUAAAGCUAUAGCCUUUUUUUACCUUCGGAAUCAGCUUUAGGCUUGUCGCCGGGGUUAAUAGUGCCGCCUCGAACAAAAGUCUUGGUCCCACUCUCCCCUUGAAACGACUCCACGAACUCCUGAUAGAGACGCGCCGUCUCAUCCUCAGCUUUCUGCGUUUUAAGAUUGGAUCGAUUAACCAAUCAAUCAAUCAAUCAUCGAAACUGAAUUUGCUUGCGGAAAGAGAGAUUAACGAACCUUCUUCCUGGCUUCUUCUUCCUCCUUGUGUUUCUGGAAGGGCGUUUUCUUACGGGUGAUCGAGAAGGAGCUCAUCUUUCAGCUGCUAUGGAGAUUGUGGAUUCUGAAUCGGAGCUAGGGUUUGAGGGGAAUCGAGUGUGUGUGUCAGUCGCUCUUCUCUCUCGGUUUACUUUUCUCUUGGUUGGCUGCUCAAAUGGGCCAAUGGUCUCUCGAUAUUAUAUUUUACUUGAAAUUUAUUAUUUUCUCCAUUUUUUAUUAGCUAACGUGUUUUGUGUUGAUGCGCACUAAUUCAAAACAUUUUUGGUAAGUUUUUUAAACAUAAAUUCAUUAAUUAUCUAUUUAAUUGUAAUUUAAUCAACAAUAAACCAAACAGUAUAAUGCAAAAACUCAUAUAGUUACAUACUCCUUCAAUUUUAAGUGUAACUAUAAAGAAAAUUUGUGUUGCAAAAUAAAUGUCGUUUAGCAUUUCAAUACAUAAUUUAUUAAUUUUAUUUUUUAAUUUAUUUUUUAAUUGGAUAUAAAUAAAAUAUAUGUUCAAAUGUAUGGAUAAUGAUGUUUUUAUAUAAAAAAUAUACAAAAGUAAAUAUUUUCUUAAUCUUUGUGCAUAAAUCUAAAAUGACACUUAAUAUGAAACAGAAAAAAAAAAAUACAAUUUUAACAAAUUUUACAUUGAAACUUAAAAGUUGAAACAUCAUCUAAUUUGAAAAAAAAAUGAAAACAUCAAGUACAAUGAAAUAGAGGGAGGAGUGUUACAGAAAUGGUUGCGAUGCUUGGAAGUAGCAACUAAUUUAACCUGUUGAAAAUAAAUGUGUUUCCAAAAUAUUUAUAUCUGCAGAAGAAACAAUGAGUGAGAAUCUUAGAAACUGGGGAUGGAGCACACAAUUACAAGCUGUGUCUGAGAAUGAGUUCUACAUAUCUUCUGGGUUCAGAAAUACAAAAGGGUUGAAAAUUCGAAAUUUUAUCAUAGGAACAUUGCUUCAUGCAGAGAACAAACCAUGAGGUGAAGGAACAAUCAUCAUCUCGUGCCUCGUCUGCGCCACUCCCUGUCUCUCUCUCUGCUUUUAUCAUGAUCGUCUCGCUCGUGGCUUAAACUCUUUUCACGUCGGUCUCGAUCCCUGCUCAAAUCAUGUUGCCUAUCUCUGUCUCUGAGUCUCCCCCUGUCCCUGUCUCGGUCCAAGUCAUGAUCUCUCUCCCUUGUUGAUGAUUUCCGUGGAGGACUUUGGCUCUGGUUUUCCCCACGCUGUCGCUUUUUAGACGAUUCCCGAGAAUCUUCAGUAGGCCUCUCCUUCCGCUCUACAGUUGAUUUCUCUGCAGUUAAAAAGUGUUGAAAUUUGCAUGAGGAACGAAAAUGAGCUGAAGAAUUUGCAGAAAGGGGCACAAGUUUCCCCCAUUGUUGCAUCAAAAGAACAUUGAACAAUUAAAAUUCUCAAAACAAAGGAAGAGUAACUAUCAGGUGUAAAGUAUAACUUACGAUUUUUGCUGCCCUCGUUAGAUCCUGAUAAGCCAUAAUCAACUUCAAGCCUCUUUCGUUUGAUUUCAACUUUUUUCUCUAUCUCCUCGGAGUUUUUCAUCCCCUGUUCCUCCAGAGUUUCACGAUACUCUAUCAAAGCAACCUCUAUGCGUCUCCGCUUUUGUCUGCAUUACAAAAAAAAAAAACAGAGUAAGAGAGCAGCCUAUAGAGUUUCGAUACAAUAAUGCAAAUUGGUUUCGUUUCCUAAUUCAAGUAGAUGGAAGCGAUAAAACCUUUGUUCCUCGUCCAUUCCAUUGUCAGGUUGGGCACGAACACGAUCAUUACUCUUGAGAUCCUCGUCAUCGGCCUUAAAAGUUAUCCCACCAGUAUUGUCGCUUCCCGGAGAAUAGCUCUUAUUUUGUUCGUCGUCAGCUUCGUCAUCCUCUUUAGCCCAUUUUGAAGCUGUCAAUAGGAGGUCACUCUUCUCCGUUCCCACAAAGGCUUUCAGCUCAGGCUGAGGGAUUGGUAUUGUCGUGGCUAGAUUCAUAGGCUCUUUCAUUUCAACCUCAGUCACAUUCCUAACUUCUUCCCAAGUUGAAUGGUCUUGCUGCGGAUACUUUGAAAUUUCAUCCACUACUUCAUAUCCACG
rnacentral:lncRNA from 1 species